GAUGAACCAGACUUUGGCUCAGCUGGCCAGUUCUGUGUGUGCUUUGGAGGUGAUGGAGGGUGGUGGGAUGAUCUGUGCUCUGCUGAAUAUCCUUUUAUCUGUUACAGAGGAACACAGCUGAAUCCUGAAUUUGUUUUUGUGAAU